UUGUGGUAGCCCAGUGAUGGUGCUGUUCUUCUAGUCCCCGUUUCAGACUUUCAGCUGUGCAAGGACUAAGUUCAGUAGUUGGCAGUUUAAUCUAGUAUGCGAUGAUGAAAGGACUAAGUUCAGUACAAAUAUUAUGUUAACUCCUUACAAUUAAUUUCGGAUCCCUUCAUCUGAGAAUUUAAGCAUGUUAUCUACUCCAUGCAGAGCAACACACAUACUAGUAGAAAAUAGCAUGUCAUAAUGGAUAAACACUGGUUAGUAAGGAGUUAAUUCUGUGAUUUCCUGACUGCAAAUCUAGGCAUACGAGCUACUAUAAUUAUGCAGUAGGAAAGAGCAUGUCCUGAUGCUUCAGAUUAGCAUGCAGUGGAAUUAGUUCUGGAUUCCUUCAUUGCAAGUCCAAAUAUGUGAGCUAGUAGUCACGGUGGUGUACCUACACAGCUUUGCUGUUAACUGCUCGGACUGAAUUAAUUGAUUGAUAGCCUUUUUUACCUACACAAGCUAGCAGCGGACUAACAAUUUGUACUGAAUUAAUUGAUGUACCUAGAGGAAAUAAACAGUAAACUAACCCAGAUCAUUGUUGGGAAUGCUGGUCAUUGUCACUGUGUGAGUACAGUUCUUAUUGCCUUGUGUCAAUGGACCCACUGAUCUGAAGUCAGUCCUUAAUGUGUGGAUGGUUGUGCUGUUUUGCAGGUGUUUGAGAUGGUCUUCCUGUUGGUGCAUGAGGAAGAGGAAGUGAAGUCAUUGAUUUGUCCACCGAGGAAGAGGAAGCGUGAAGUCUUUGAUCUGUCCAGAGGGAGCUCUAGGCUCAAGAAGUUGGAAAAAGGGAAUGCUUCAUCUUUGUAGCUAAUUAUAUGUUCCUGGAUGAUGUGAAUGGCUGUUAUAGUACUUCAUAGCAGCACUUUUGUAGUUGUUCUAUAUUCCUGGAUGAUGUGAACUAUGGCAUGAUUGUAAUAUAUAUAAUAUACUCAUUUUGGUCGUCAUUUA